CAUUUGGUCCUAUAUUUUUUCUGGUUACUAAAUCCGAGAGGAGAGAGAGUCCCUUCGUUUUUUAGUAUAUCAAGAAACGGAGAGUUCCAUUUUUCCCUGUCGGUGCUGUGAAAAGCGUUCUUACUCUCUUGGAGCCUAAGUAUAGCCAUGGUUCAAACCUAGGCGCGAACUCCGAUUCCGGAAGAGAUGCUAUUUCUCAGUGUCUUCAAUCCACUUCUGCUGCCGUCGUCGAUCAAUCGGUUCGGGAACUUAGCUGCUUCGUCAAAGAGGGUUACCUUGAGGUUCCCCAUGGUUUACUUGAACAUCAAUCGGCUCUCGACGGCUGUGACUUGCGUUUCCGUCAAUGUUUUCUUCGAAGGGUUAUGGUUUCUUGUUCGCUUCGGAUUUCAGAAGAACGAUACGUUGUGGCGGUUGGAUUCUCCGGAGACUCAUCCCUUCGUCAAGGUUUUUAAAGGUCGUUUGAUGUAGAACUGAGGUUCAAGCGGAGCUCGUACAGGCAAGUGCUCUUGUUAAUAGCGCAGAACAAGCGCACGGGACUUGUGGAAGUUUGUAAAUUCUUGAGGCCUUUCUUAAAUUUCUCGAUAUUGAGGGUAUCUUCAUCUGCUUCAUCGUUUUCGUUCACAAGGCUUUUAGGUUCCUCUAUUGCGUCACUGUCUUGCUCGUUUCCAUUUGAAGCUAUGCCCGUUGUCAAGUUGAUGAUGGAAUGCUUCAAAUAUUUUCAGCGGAAAGUUGCAGAAUCCUGGCCAUGAGUAUUUUGCCGCUCAACUCAGAUUCUUAAAGUUUGAAGGAUUUAUCAGGACAUGAAAAAUCUCAUUGACGUUGUUAAUUAUCUGGUGGAUGCAUUUACGGUGAUCUUCAGGCAGGUGGUUGGAACUGGAUCGUUGAUCAAAGAGGCUCAACCAUGGAAACUCUUCUAUCAUUUUAUACUGAUUUUCACAAGCUUUCUGGUGGGAGUGAGCCCAUUUUCAAACUGUCAAAUAGUGUAUUGCUCGUUCAGAAAGAGCUUGGGCUGCCGUACAUACCAGAACUGUUAUCAGUGAAGAUGUCCUUAUUUCUCAUACUUACUCGAGCAGAAUUUGAACAUGAACAAAAUUCAGAGUUUUCUUGUUUAAGUGGAAAACUGAAAAUGGUAUGGCUCAUUUAUUUGUGCUGACCAGCUGUGAAUUUGUUCUAUUCUAGUGUUCUAUUCCCCUCCCCCUUCCUGAGUGGGAACAAGAAUUAGUUAAAGAUACUUUAUGUUAUCUCUAAUCCUCUUCACCACCUUUGCAUGUCAAUAACUAAAACGAAAAAAAGGAAAUGCCAAUGUGAUUGGAAAUAGACAAUUGAUUUCUAUCAAUAGGCAUUUGAAUUUAUGAAACCGUAGAUUCCAGAGCUUUAUUAAUUUCUUUUUCUGGUUUAAACUGUCUUGAUUCACAUUGCUGGGAAAGUUAUUUGAAAAGCGUGCUCAUGGUUUUAUUUUAGAGAAUUUCAAGUCACGCCACAUUACUUUGCCAGCUUGGCUAUAGACUGGUUGACUGCUUACAUUUCAUUUAUUAAAAUUUUUAAGGGAGAGAAUUCCUCAUGGUGCUAGUUUAGCGAUGAAUCUGCACGCCACAUCAAUGGUGGCGUGGAGGACGGUAUCCAUCCACAUGGGGUUCAUAUGGUUAGACCAUGAGAGGGAAAAAAAAAAAAAAAUCCCAUGUGUAAGGAAAAUAGUACCUUGGUGUUGUGGGGAACCCUUUUUUUUUUUGUCAAGUUUAGAUUUACUCUUUUGGACGGAACCCACAGUCAUGUGCUUGUAUACUUUGCUUUCACCAGUCUCGUGGUUUGUCUGCUUAAAAAAUUCCCUUCCUUUAUUGUGUCUGAGACUCUGAGUAUAACAAUAGAUCCUUCCUCUGCCAUGGCAGUGGGUGCUGUAUCAUAUAUGAAGAAUUAUGCUGUGAUACUAUUAUGCUUUUUAUUAAAAAAAAAAUCCCCUUUCUAGGCUUAGGAAACAUUUUAUGCUUGCUUCUUGGGGAAUGUAUGGUGACAAAUGUUACCGGGGCAUAUCAUUUUCUGAAAUGUAGCCUUCACCGAGUCAUUGAUAUGCCAGGGACAUGCGAGCACUUGUGUUGAGAAAACUUAAUUUUGUCCUGUAACUUUGUUUUCAAACGUAACAUAUUUACGUACAAUUCGUAUAAUUUUUCAGGUGCAUCAGUUUAUCUCAAUGCCUAAGUAAAUUCUUAUUUUUCAGACACUUGUUAAUGUAGUAGUUGUAAUCUAAAGCAUUUAUUAUAAUGUAUGUAAUGGUUUGAGUUUCUUGAAAGUCAGAUUCGACUCUGAUUAGUGUUGGACAAUGAUAAUUUUCUUGUUAAGUAGUAAAUAACUAUGAUGUAAUUCACCCAAAAAAAGAAAAGAAAAAAGAAAACCACUAUGAUGUAGAUGUUAAUCAUAAGUUUAUCUCAUAGUAGUGAAACGUUCCAUUGUUCUAUCUGAGUGCAAUUAUUUCUCUGAAGUAUGUUGUAAUGAUGAUUUUUUCUUCACUGUCAAUCUGCUGGAAGAUGUUUUUAUAUUCAUUUUCAGAAUAUGUCAGUGAAAAAGCUGCAUCUGGUCCCAGUGAGGAGUUUCUGUUCCUUUUUCCUGUUAUCAGUCUUUUAUCAUCUCCUUCUAAAUUUGUUAAAGCGGCACUGAAUGGAUUUCUCUCUGUGUUGGAAGAGCUCUUAAUGCAUUUUUUAAUUGCAUCUAAGAAAGUACAUAAUUUUGCCGGGGUAAUUUCCAUUUAUCAGCAAACCUGAGUCAAUUAUCAAUUAUCUGUUGGAUUUUGUGGGAUCUGUGGCUGCAGGUUACUUUCUAUUUCAUGAUUCAUCUAAAAUAAUGCUUUUG